rnacentral:rRNA from 1 species
UACGGAGGGGACUAGCGUUGUUCGGAAUUACUGGGCGUAAAGCGCACGUAGGCGGAUUUGUAAGUCAGGGGUGAAAUCCCGGGGCUCAACCCCGGAACUGCCUUUGAUACUGCAAAUCUCGAGUCCGGAAGAGGUGAGUGGAAUUCCUAGUGUAGAGGUGAAAUUCGUAGAUAUUAGGAAGAACACCGGUGGCGAAGGCGGCCCACUGGAUCGGUACUGACGCUGAGGUGCGAAAGCGUGGGGAGCAAACAGG